UGCUUAGGGGGGCCUACUGAAGCCAUAGCCCUGUGUGAGGAACUCAGGAUGAGAAGGUGAAGAUCAGAGACUCUCAGAGCCCACCUACAGCUUGUCCCCACGAAACCCACCCGACUUUUCCCUGCCUAGUCCACUCCACCACCGAUUGGGUCUGGCCCUGGCUGUGGGCAGCGAACUGGAAUCUCGAGCUGAGGGAACUCUGCCAUCCCGGGCAUGGAUUUCGUGUUCUUUCAGGUCUUGGAUAUAAAAUGCUUUCCGGAGGCCCCGUGCUUGAGCACAUGAUCACCAGCGGGUGGCGCUGUUUUUUCGAGGCUGUGAACCAUACAAAAGGUGCUCAACUGAAGUGGGACCACCAUCUCCAGAACUUCCAGAGGCAGGAAAGUGGACCGAGAAGAGCCCUGCAGACAAUGAGAGGUCCAUGCGGAGCAUCACACAAGCCAGAUAAUGGCCGAGCCCAGGCCGGAACCUCAGCCUCCUCGUAUGUGCGGCGUGGGUAUGAGUGGAACGCUGCACAUGGCUGUGCCUGUACCACAUGUGUGAGUGCGCGGGCACCACAUGCCUGCUUGUAGCUGGCUCCUCAUCCCCAGCCCCUGGACCUCCAGGGUUAACGUUCCGCUCAGGCGCUGGGAAGUGCAGCCACUCCACGUUGGGCUUCAAGCUUCUCAUCAGAAGAAUGGGGAAAGUGACAAUAUGGUGACCGGCAGAGGUGCCAGCACUCGAAGCAGUAAUGUCUCUUAGCAUCCUUGGUUGUCAGAGGGCUGGGACGCUCAGAGAGAAACUGAGCUGCUGUGCCAAGCCUCUCUCACCACAGUGGACUGAAGACCCUGCAACAGCCAGAAGUGACUGUCGCCUCCGUUGGCUAUUUCUAUCAGAUACACCAGAAGGUUGUGAGCCACCACAUGGUUGCUGGGAAUUGAACUCAGGACCACUGGAAGAGCCAGUCAACUGCUGCGUCUUAAGCGCUGAGCCAUCUCUCCAGGUUUUUUAUUACACACCAUGUGCACGCAGUGUCAAUUGAGACCUGAAGAGGGCACUAGACUCCCUGGAAGUGCAGAUACAGAUGCUUGUGAGCUACUGCGUGGCUUCUGGAACCAGAACCCAGGCUCUCUGCAAGAGCAGUCAGUUCUCCUAACAUCAGAACCAUCUCUCUAGCUCUAUCAUUUGACUUUUAACUGCUAACACUCACUUCUGCCUUAAAGAAGGUUUUUUAUUUCUAUAAAGCCAAAUUAGUCUCCCCUGCCCCUUUCUGAGGGCUUUGUCUGAGGACUUCUCACGCAUUAAAAAUAUUGUUCAAACUGUAUCUGUGGUUCCUUUCAGGCUAAUUCUUUCAUUAAAAACGUUUCAGUCCCUGACCCACCUAGAAUUUGCUUUGGUAUAAAGUAUGACACGGGGAUCUAAUUUUCUCAAUGGCUAAUUGGAUGUCCUAAUGACAUUAAUAAGUAGUUCAUCUUCUCCUCAAUGAUUUUGUUUUCUGCCCCAACUUUAUCAAAGUACAACUGAUAAAUAAACAUUAUACAUCUGGGAUGCAUAAUAUAUUUUGAUUUAUGCAUACAUUAUGAGAUGUUUGAUCAAGUCAAUUCAUGUAUCCAUCACCUAAUUAUUAUUAUGGUUUAAAUAUUAAAUGUCCCUCACAGGAUCAUACUUUGAAUGCUUGGCCUCAAAGUUCUGUCUUAGCGAGUUCUGUUGGUGGUUCUGUCUCAUGGAGUUCUGGAAACUUUAGAAGGCGGGGCCUAUGGUCAUCCGGACAUGUCUUUGUGAGUCUAUUCACCAGGGCUUCUUCUAAUCUUUCACUGUGCUCCCCAUCUGCUGGGAUGUAAGCAGUGGUCUCCCACCACAUGCUCCUGCUGCCAUGAUGUUCUGUUCAAGUGUGAAGGGCCAAGUGUGUUUCAGGUCAUGCAUGGCCUGAACUCUCUGAAACCCUGAGCCGGAAUCCAUACUUCUUUCUGUAUAUACAAUGUAGAUAUAGUGGGGUGUGUCUCUCAGAUAUUUUGUCAAAGCAAUGAGAAAAACAGCUUUAUGAUUUAAAUGUGAAAUAUGCCCUGCAGGUACAUCGUUUGAACUCUGGAUCCCUGGAUAGCAGUGCUCUAUUUUUGAAAGGCUGUGGAAACUUUAGGAGGCAGGGCAUCAGUGUUGGCAAUGGACCACUGAGGGAGGGGCCAGCCUUGAGGAUUAUUGUCUGUGUCUCAGGCUGAGCUCUUAGCUUUCCUGUUCUAGUAAGAUGUGAGCAAGCUGAGGCAAAAGAGAGCUGUUCCGUAAGCUUCUGCCUCCACAGACAGGGGCAGGACCACUGCCAUGCUUUCUUCUAUACGACCUGAGCCAAGUCCUUUCUCCCUUGAGCUGCUUCUCAACGCUGUCUUAGGCAUUUGGGCACAGCAACAAAAGACUGCAUACAGCAGCUGAUACCCUUACACACAUUUUUGUGGCAAGAUCAUUUACAAUCUGACCUGGUGAAUUCCAGAUGACCAAAGAAACCAUUUCAUCCACGUCCAGUUGGUAAAGCCAUGAGUUAAUUGAGAGUUUCUUCUUGAGCAUGAAUGACACUGCGGACACUGUGCCCCACUGUGGCACAAAGGGUAGCUCACUCAGGCUACCCACAUUUCUAGUUCCCCAUACAGCUUAUGAGCAGCAGUCUCACCAGAGGCUCUUCCCUCCUCUCAUCUCAGGAACCUUACGAACCUCCUCCCUAAUCCAGGAUCGACUGUUCCAUUCUAGAAGAAGCAGCUCCACAGUACAUGUAUUAUUAUUGACUAUAGUCACCAGGCUGCACAACCGGAAGUGUUCAUCAUGCCUAACAGGAGUGUCGCCUCCUUUCCCUGCAUCCUCCCUGCAUCCCUCAGUCCUGGCAACUAGCAUUCUGCGCUCUGCCGCUGUGAGUUCAAUGCUGUUAAAUUUUAAGUGUAAGUGAAACCACAGAAGGCUCUCCAUGCCUGGCUUAUUUUAUUUGGCAUAAUGCCUUCAGGUUCAUCCAUGUUGCAAAUGACAGGAUUCCCAGACUCCUAUUUCCCAGUGUCUUAAAGCAAGGGUGGUCUCUCCAUAAGGUGUUGUGGACUAAAUGUAGGGUCGCAAAAUAUUUGGUGAGAGUUAAAACAUUUCUGAACUUGUGGGGACCCACCCUGAUUCAAAAUCAAAUGUGCAAUGAAACCAAGGUAUGCAGGGUGCUUGCUUGUGUUGUGUCAUGUGACCUCACUGAAGCCGUGGUUCAGCACACCCCACAUGGGCUUUUUGCACUGGGCAGGCGGGCACCGCACGCGACACCAAUGGGGACUGCUUGAGAGGCCGUGGCUCAUCGUGGAGAUUAUUCUGUGUUAUGAACUGCUGCGGUGUUCUUUACUGAACACGCAGAGCUCUCAGCUCUUGUGCAAAGAGAAUGGUUUCAUUAUAGAGAACAGGCUUUUAAUAUUUUCCUACCCCUAUUCUUCAGCAUGUAAGUAUCAAGUUGGUGGUAUAGCUUUGGAUUAUAUUGUGUUUGAAUGUUUGACUUUAAAAAUUGCUGUUUGAGUUGCUGACUCAAAUUUCAUAAAAAAAAAAAAUCAAAUCAUGAAAUGAAUUUUGGCUUGAGGCUGGGACAGACUUUCCAACAGUCUCUGAAGUGGCCCUCAAUAUACUUCUGCCAUUUUGUGCUAGGCUCAAAAUGCAAAGCAGCGGUCUCAGCAUUGGCAAUUAUAGAUCAAUAAUACCAAUCGACGCUGGAAAUGUUCAGGAUGCUCCAUGUCCUUCAGCAUCAACGUUAUUCUUGAAUAAGAAUAAACCAGCACAUACGACGCAGUGGCCUGCAUGCUAGCAUCAGUUCUUUAAUGCAAUGGUAAAAUUCUGUACAUAGUAAAGAAUUGUUUUUAAAUAAACUUCGUUAUGAUUUAUUCUC
rnacentral:lncRNA from 1 species